AUGCCUGGAGAGAGUUGUCAUGGCAACAGGAAUCAGGGCAUGGUAAUCCAGAGGCAGCAGUAUACUGAGAGCAAUCCCUUAAACAAGGAAGAGAGGGAGAAGGAAAGAAAGAAAGGAAGAAAGAAAGAAGGAAAAAAGGAAAAAGACAGAAAGAAAAGAAAGAAAAAGAAAAAAGAAAGGAAGGAGGAACAAUGAAAGAAAAAAGUUUAAUAAAAAAAUAAAUUAAGUCUAAUCCA
rnacentral:lncRNA from 1 species